ensembl:lncRNA
GGUCUUUGGAGUCAAUGGGGUCCCUGUGGCAAUGGGGGUCAUUGGGUUCAAUGUGGGUUAUUGGGGUCAUUGUAGUCAAUGGAGUCAUUGGGGUCAAUUGGGUCACUGGGGUCAAUGGGGGUCAUUGGGAUCAAUGAAGGCCAUUGGUGUUAAAGGGGUUAGUGGUGUCAAUGGGGUCUAUGGGGUCACUGAGGUAAAUGGGUUGUUGGGGUCUUAUGGGGUCAUGGGUAUCAUUAGAAACUUUGGGAUCGGUGGGGUCAGUGGGGUCAUGCAGGGUCAUUGGGGUCAAUGGGGCCAUGUGGGAUCGUUGGGAUCAUUGGGGUUAUAAGGUUCAUG